UAAAGGAUUCCAUUCAAAUCUUAAAUAAAGUGAUUUGCAUCAGCAGCUCCAUGCUCCAGCGCUCUGGGAGAGUUUAUAGUCCUGACAGUUGAACUCUGGAUGACUGACAGCUGUCCUUCAUCACAACAGAAGACACAGAAAUCCUCCUCAUCAAAAACAUGACUUUGAUCUGCGUCCUCAUCUGGACUCUCCUCUGCUGCUGCUUCACAGAAUCCAAAAUCCAACCUACAGUGACUCAGCCUGCAGCAGUGAGCUCUUCCUUGGGACGAUCUGUCACCAUCAGCUGUAAGACCAGUCACAAUGUUUAUAGCUCCAACCGUUUAGACUGGUACCAGCAGAAAGGUGGAGAGGUUCCUAAGCUGCUGCUGUACUCCACUAGCACUCGAGCAUCAGGGACUCCAAGUCGUUUCACAGGCAGUGGCUCAAACUCUGACUUCACUCUGACCAUCAGUGGAGUUCAGGCUGAAGAUGCUGCAGUUUACUACUGUAAUGGAGAGUUCCCAUCAAGCACUCACGACUUCUUCACACAGUGA